rnacentral:rRNA from 1 species
GAUGAACGCUGGCGGCGUGCCUAAUACAUGCCAGUCGAGCGAACGGACGAGAAGCUUGCUUCUCUGAUGUUAGCGGCGGACGGGUGAGUAACACGUGGAUAACCUACCUAUAAGACUGGGAUAACUUCGGGAAACCGGAGCUAAUACCGGAUGAUAUUUUGAACCGCAUGGUUCAAAAGUGAAAGACGGUCUUGCUGUCACUUAUAGAUGGAUCCGCGCUGCAUUAGCUAGUUGGUAAGGUAACGGCUUACCAAGGCAACGAUGCAUAGCCGACCUGAGAGGGUGAUCGGCCACACUGGGACUGAGACACGGUCCAGACUCCUACGGGAGGCAGCAGUAGGGAAUCUUCCGCAAUGGGCGAAAGCCUGACGGAGCAACGCCGCGUGAGUGAUGAAGGUCUUCGGAUCGUAAAACUCUGUUAUUAGGGAAGAACAAAUGUGUAAGUAACUGUGCACAGCUUGACGGUACCUAAUCAGAAAGCCACGGCUAACUACGUG